GACGAACGCUGGCGGCGUGCUUAACACAUGCAAGUCGAACGGAAAGGCCCUGCUUUUGUGGGGUGCUCGAGUGGCGAACGGGUGAGUAACACGUGAGUAACCUGCCCUUGACUUUGGGAUAACUUCAGGAAACUGGGGCUAAUACCGGAUAGGAGCUCCUGCUGCAGGGUGGGGGUUGGAGAGUUUCGGCGGUUGGGGAUGGACUCGCGGCUUAUCAGCUUGUUGGUGGGGUAGUGGCUUACCAAGGCUUUGACGGGUAGCCGGCCUGAGAGGGUGACCGGCCACAUUGGGACUGAGAUACGGCCCGGACUCCUACGGGAGGCAGCAGUGGGGAAUAUUGCACAAUGGGCGGAAGCCUGAUGCGGCAACGCCGCGUGCGGGAUGACGGCCUUCGGGUUGUAAACCGCUUUCGCCUGUGACGAAGCGUGAGUGACGGUAAUGGGUAAAGAAGCACCGGCUAACUACGUG
rnacentral:rRNA from 1 species